rnacentral:rRNA from 1 species
UACGGAGGGUGCAAGCGUUAUCCGGAUUUACUGGGUUUAAAGGGUGCGUAGGCGGACUUUUAAGUCAGUGGUGAAAGCUCCGAGCUUAACUCGGAAACUGCCAUUGAUACUAUUAGUCUUGAAUUCGGUCGAGGUUGGCGGAAUGUGUCGUGUAGCGGUGAAAUGCUUAGAUAUGACACAGAACACCGAUUGCGAAGGCAGCUAGCUAGACCGACAUUGACGCUGAGGCACGAAAGCGUGGGGAUCAAACAGGAUUAGAAACCCCAGUAGUCC